GACGAACGCUGGCGGCGUGCUUAACACAUGCAAGUCGAACGGAAAGGCCCUGCUUGUGUGGGGUGCUCGAGGGGCGAACGGGGGAGUAACACGUGAGUAACCUGCCCUUGACUUUGGGAUAACUUCAGGAAACUGGGGCUAAUACCGGAUAGGAGCUCCUGCUGCAUGGUGGGGGUUGGAAAGUUUCGGCGGUUGGGGAUGGACGCGCGGCUUAUCAGCUUGUUGGUGGGGUAGUGGCUUACCAAGGCUUUGACGGGUAGCCGGCCUGAGAGGGUGACCGGCCACAUUGGGCCUGAGAUACGGCCCAGACUCCUACGGGAGGCAGCAGUGGGGAAUAUUGCACAAUGGGCGGAAGCCUGAUGCAGCAACGCCGCGUGCGGGAUGACGGCCUUCGGGUUGUAAACCGCUUUCGCCUGUGACGAAGCGUGAGUGACGGUAAUGGGUAAAGAAGCACCGGCUAACUACGUG
rnacentral:rRNA from 1 species